UGUUUUAAUGUAUUUGAUGUUAAAACAUUGUAUGAUUCAGCAUGAUUUUAGUUGGUUAACAAUAUGUUUUUUAUGUUUAAAAUCCAUGUUGAAAAUCAUGUGUUAUUCUGGAAAUUAUUUUUUGGCCACUGCCAGUCAGACAAUCGAUUGUUGCCUUAAACAAUCGAUUGUUUGAGACGUUAAAUAUUCUGGCAGUUAUUUUGGAACACCGGACAAUCGAAUGUUAAAGCCUGACAAUCGAUUGUUCAGGUCCAGUGAGUUGAAACGUUUUUUAAUUAUACCAUACAAUCGAUUAUCUAUUGUAG
rnacentral:lncRNA from 1 species